rnacentral:piRNA from 1 species
UGUGAUGUCAUAUACUUUCAAAGGUCCC